ACCUUAUCCUCCUUCAAGGUGCUUUCAUAGAAACUUUAGCUCCAUUCCAGCUAUUUGGGCCACCUUAAGCCCACCUAAACCCUUAAGGCCCAGUCCACUUAAAGCCCAAAAGGUCUAAAUUGCACAUAAAGUUAGGCUCAUGCCCAAACCCUUAAUUCAAAACUCUAUAACUUUCUCAAUUCUUAAUCUUUUUAAGCAAACCUAUACUUCAAGUGUUCCUCAAGCAGGAAGCUAUCACAUGGUUUUUUUUUGGGCUUUAUCUAGGUUCAUUUGGCCCAUCUAUGGCCUAAACAAGCCUGAAAGGUCAAAAUUAUCUUCCAUGUGCAUCCAUCUCGGGUUUGGCCUCAUUUCUCCCAACUGUUCUUCUACAUAUAUUUUUUUUUCCACACACUUCUUCCCUAAUAUAAUUUCUAGUUAUCAACCAAAAGUGAGUCUCAAUUUUCAAGUACUUUAGUCUCGAGAUGCAAAUCAAUCUAAAAGGGUAAAAAAGAGUUCCUUAGCGGAUUUUCUCUUGCACAUGAGGGAUUUCUCUACAGAUUCUUCAUCCAAUUAUUUUCUCACUAUUUAAAAGCAUUGUUUUUUACCUUCUAUGAGGUCUUUUUAGCUUCAAGAAGC
rnacentral:lncRNA from 1 species